ensembl:snoRNA SNORA70 Small nucleolar RNA SNORA70
CUGCAGCCAAUUAAACUGUGCUCUUUCCCCAUGGGGGCCCAGUGUGCAAUGGCUGCAAACAGCAGCCUCCUUGGUAGUGUAUGCAGUCUAUUGAUUGUCUGGUUGCCCUAAGGGACCUUGGAAACAGCC